UUUAUUUUUGGACAUCCUAUAUAAAGAGAAAAAUUUAGUUUGAUUUCCUUAAAUUAUUUAUAUAUUCAUUGUAUAUAAAUAUGUUCGUAAUCACCUUUCUGUAUUAAGAAUACACGCUCGAAGGAUUAAAUCUCUAUAGAUUUUUCUUCAUUGUUUGUGCAGAAAAUUUUAUUUACUUCUGUUCUGUGGAGAUACAGAUUAAUGGAACCGCAGCUAAAAUUUACUUUAGAAUGUAUGUAACCAGGUGUCCUAUAAGCGCAAGCACUGAAACCAAAUUAAUGUAACGAAAUAUCUAAUAUACGUUCCACGGUUGGCUAACUGGCUACCCUAAAAUUGUGUUUUAGAUAUUUGGUCAGAAGCCAAGAAUCACAGCUACACAGACAGAACCGGUAAACGCGCGCUUUUAAUUAAAUAACGCGACCCAGCAACGUGUG